rnacentral:rRNA from 1 species
UACGUAGGGUGCGAGCGUUAAUCGGAAUUACUGGGCGUAAAGCGUGCGCAGGCGGUUCGCCAAGUCAGGUGUGAAAUCCCCGGGCUUAACCUGGGAAUUGCGCUUGAAACUAGCGGGCUUGAGUGUGGCAGAGGGGGGUGGAAUUCCACGUGUAGCAGUGAAAUGGCGUAGAGAUGUGGAGGAACACCGAUGGCGAAGGCAGCCCCCUGGGUCAACACUGACGCUCAUGCACGAAAGCGUGGGGAGCAAACAGG